AGCAUGCUAUGCAAGCAUCGCUGUGUUUCACGUCUCCCACGGCAUAGAAACGGUGGAGGACCCCUAGUCGGACUUGAUCCAGGGAGCAUCCCAGGAUUCCAGUUUUCUCUGUAUCUUUCCGUGGUGUGACAGUUGUGCCUCCCCGGCUGAUCUUCUCCGGAUACUCACGUUCUGUGUCUAUAGCUCACACAUCCACACACACACAGGUCACAGGAUGCCUGGGAUAUGGACGCUGCCCUCUGUCCCCUGCAAACCGCAGAGCACCGUGAGCCCUGCACCCUGCUUCUGUGUGAGAGGAGCUGCAGCUGGAGGAGCGCCAGCUGAGAAAAAGACUUUAUGCACCUUUUGAAGUCGAGCUAAGCACAGAAUUGAGCUGAGUGACAGCUGGAUGGGAAGCCACUUUUGGGCAGCAGGGAGCUGCAGCCUGGAAAUGGAGAACCUUCCAGAAGGUGGCAAGGCUGCCCUGGAGCAGGGCUGGGGGCAUCUCACUCAUGAAUCUCACACCCACAAGCAGAAAUCGGCCUGGCCAAGACCAUUUCCCAACCUCCCAUGAGGCAGGAGCCCAGGCCCAUCCAUGCUGUGACCUCACAGAGCCACUAAUACUCCGGGCCCCAGGGCAAGGGUUGGGGGCAGACAAACUCCACCUGGCUUUGUGGGCUGCCAGACCCCUGCACAGGGCGCACUCAGUCCCACCAGACGUCAGACCCCUGCACACAGACUCUCCAGCAAUGUCUUUCCUAGGCCCAAAUGCUUGAUUUCACCCAGGCGGCCCUCAGCGGAGGCCGGGUUCCUGCUAAGGGCUUUGCCUUCUGGCUGCAGGGCUGCCUGGCGAGGGUGGUCUCCACCAAGCAGGUCCCUGCACCUCAGCAGCAGAUGCUGGCAUUUGGGGAUCUCGUUUCUGGGGAGCCAGUGGCAAUGUGCCUCUCCUGUCUCAGGGACACUGCGGCCUCUUCCUCUGAGGCCCCUCGGGCAGGUCACAUGCCCAGUGGGUGGGCUCAGCAAUGGCAAGCCUGUGUGCUCUGCCAGGGUGUCUGACAUCCAGGACAGGCUUUGGGAGAGGAACCUUUUGUUAGCAAAAGAUCACAGGGACGCUCACCUUUGCAGGGCACUGAGCAGACAAAGGUGGCCCUCGGCAUCCGGAUGUCUGUUUAAUUCAUGCCCCAGCAGGGACUGAGCCUUCUGAAAAAUGCACACUCACAGCUCCGAACUGCUGGCUGGAGAUCAUGGGAUGAGGAAACAGGGACUUUACUGAGAUUCCGGGCGGGCGUUUGCUAACCUCCCUGCUCUGCAACACUGGGAGGGCGGCUGGACCAGGACAUCUCUGGCCACACGGGAUUCUCCUGCUCUGCUGGCAGAGGUGGCCUCGUGUGCAUGUGAGGUCUCCGGCCACCUGCUCCGAGUGACUGAUGAAUAGCUGCGGGGUGUCCCAGGCCGCCCUGCCUCAGCUAAAGCGCUGCUGCUGGUCACAGUCCCCUCUGGCCUAGACUUACUUCCUUUCAUGCCUGGCUCUCCAGGGGACUCCCAUAUACCCUCCCUGGCUCAGGUCCAGGUCGGAGACCCUGGGGAAGUCUCCAAGGUCACCCUGCUUUCCCUUGUCCUUCAGAUCCGCCCCCACCUGCCUAUAGGCCCCAGGCAGUCUUCUCCUGUGGAGGCUACUGUGCUCUGUGCCACCCCUGCUCCCAUGUGCAGGCCCAGGAAAUAAUAUGCAGGCGGUGGGAUCAAGUGGAAGCCACCGCCCAUGUGUGGCAUGGAGGCCCACAUGCCCACUCCUCUGACGGGCAUGGAGGCCCCCAUGCUCACUCCUCUGACGGGCAUGGAGGCCCACAUGCCCACUCCUCUGACGGGCGUGGAGACCCACAUGCCCACUCCUCUGAUGGGCGUGGAGGCCCCCAUGCUCACUCCUCUGACGGGCAUGGAGGCCCACAUGCCCACUCCUCUGACGGGCGUGGAGGCCCACAUGCCCACUCCUCUGACGGGCGUGGAGGCCCACAUGCCCACUCCUCUGACGGGCGUGGAGACCCACAUGCCCACUCCUCUGAUGGGCGUGGAGGCCCCCAUGCUCACUCCUCUGAUGGGCAUGGAGGCCCACAUGCCCACUCCUCUGACGGGCGUGGAGACCCACAUGCCCACUCCUCUGAUGGGUGCUGCCGAAGGGCCCACUGAGAAGGGGCAGAGUCCCUGACCAGGGCCCAUUCCUUCACUGAGCAGAGAGGAAGCUGCUCCUGAGGCCUCAGGCUUCAAGGCAGCAGGCAGACCCACUACCCUGGACGGCUGCAGGGACACCAGGGCAGGGGGCAACAGGGGCCUCCAGGGCUGAAGCACAGAAGGCUUCAUG